UUAGAAAUUUUCCUGUUUUGAGGUUACGCUAAAUGUGAAAGAAUUUUGUGAGUUUAGAUUAAAUGUGAAGGAAUUUUGUGGGCACGUUAAAUGGGAAAGAAAUUUUGUUCUGAGGUUACACUAAAUUAGACUCGUAUUCAUAUUAUUUUAUAUAAUUUUGUGGGGAGGUUACAGUAUAUCUGUUCGUUUAUCACACGUUUGUUCUCUGCUAUGGCUCUCUGGAUGUUAUGUUGUGCCUGAACUGUUGUAAGGUCUUCGUUGUGGCUCUUGGUGCUAAUGAUUUCCAUAUCGUGCCCUGUACUGGUAAGAUGGUGUUUCAAAUAUUCUGCAAAUGCGGAAUGAUUUGUUUCAUAUUUCCAACACCUGAUGUAUUCUUUAUAU